rnacentral:rRNA from 1 species
CCUACGGGGGGCAGCAGUGAGGAAUAUUGGUCAAUGGCCGGAAGGCUGAACCAGCCAAGCCGCGUGAAGGAAGAAGGUGCCAAGCAUUGUAAACUUCUUUUGUCAAGGAACAAAAUCAGGCCCGCGAGCCUGAACGAGGGUACUCGAAGAAAAAGCAUCGGCUAACUCCGUGCCAGCAGCCGCGGUAAUACGGGGGAUGCGAGCGUUAUCCGGAUUUAUUGGGUUGAAAGGGUGCGUAGGCGGGCUGUUAAGUCAGCGGUAAAAGGCCGGGGCGCAACCCCGGCCAGCCGUUGAAACUGGGUUUCUAGAGAUGUCGAGAGGUAUGCGGAAUGCGCGGUGUAGCGGUGAAACGCUUAGAUAUUGCGCAGAACUCCGAUUGCGAAGGCAGCAUACCGGCGGCGAUCUGACGCUGAGGCACGAAAGCGUGGGUAUCGAACAGGAUUAGAUACCCCAGUAGUC